rnacentral:lncRNA from 1 species
CAGUUUAGGGUGUAAAACCUGACUAAAGAAAGAUUCAGUUUAGGGUUUAAAACCCUAAUGCUGAUUAAAAGGAAAAUUCAGUUUAGGGUUUUAAAACCCUAAUGCUGGCUAAAGGAAAAAGUUCAGUUUAGGGUUUAAAACCCUAAUGCUGACUAAAAGGAAAAAUUCAGUUUAGGGUUUAAAACCCUAAUGUUGAUUGCAUGGAAAAGCUCAGUUUAGGGUUUAAAACCCUAAUGCUGGCUGAAAGGAAAAGUUCAGUUUAGGGUUUAAAACCCUAAUGCUGACUAAAAGGAAAAUUCAGUUUAGGGUUUAAAACCCUAAUGCUGAUUGCAUGGAAAAGCUCAGUUUAGGGUUUAAAACCCUAAUGCUGGCUGAAUGGAAAAAGUUCAGUUUAGGGUUUAAAACCCUAAUGCUGACUAAAAGGAAAAUUCAGUUUAGGGUUUAAAACCCUAAUGCUGACUAAAAGGAAAAUUCAGUUUAGGGUUUAAAACCCUAAUGUUGAUUGCAUGGAAAAGCUCAGUUUAGGGUUUAAAACCCUAGUGCUGGCUGAAAGGAAAAGUUCAGUUUAGG